GAUGAAACUUAGUAGACUUCUUCGGAAUGACACUAAGCGAAUUAGUGGCGAACGGGUGAGUGACGCGUGAGUAACCUGCCUUACACAAGGGGAUAGCCUUUGGAAACGAAGAAUAAUACCCUAUAAAACUAUAAAAGCACAUGCUAGAAUGGUCAAAGUGCUAGCGGUGUAGGAUGGACUUGCGUCUGAUUAGCUAGUUGGUGAGAUAAAAGCUCACCAAGGCAACGAUCAGUAGCCGGCUUGAGAGAGUGUACGGCCACAUUGGGACUGAGACACGGCCCAGACUCCUACGGGAGGCAGCAGUGGGGAAUUUUGCACAAUGGGGGAAACCCUGAUGCAGCGACGCCGCGUGAUUUAGAAGGCCUUCGGGUUGUAAAAAUCUUUUGUAUAGGAAGAAAAUGACAGUACUAUACGAAUAAGGUCCGGCUAAUUACGUGCCAGCAGCCGCGGUAAUACGUAAGGACCGAGCGUUGUCCGGAAUCAUUGGGCGUAAAGGGUACGUAGGCGGCUAGAAAAGUUAGAGGUCAAAGGCUAUAGCUCAACUAUAGUAAGCUUCUAAAACUAUUUAGCUUGAGAAAUGGAAGGGAAAGUGGAAUUCCUAGCGUAGCGGUGGAAUGCGCAGAUAUUAGGAAGAAUACC
rnacentral:rRNA from 2 species